KGGSAGACGGGUGAGUAAUGCGUAGGAAUCUACCUAGUAGUACGGAAUAGCCAUUAGAAAUGGUGGGUAAUACUGUAUAAUCCCCGAGGGGGAAAGAUUUAUCGCUAUUAGAUGAGCCUACGUUAGAUUAGCUAGUUGGUGAGGUAAUGGCUUACCAAGGCUAUGAUCUAUAGCUGGUCUGAGAGGACGAUCAGCCACACUGGAACUGAGAUACGGUCCAGACUCCUACGGGAGGCAGCAGUGGGGAAUAUUGGACAAUGGGCGAAAGCCUGAUCCAGCUAUGCCGCGUGAGUGAAGAAGGCCUUCGGGUUGUAAAWYUCYYYC
rnacentral:rRNA from 1 species